rnacentral:tRNA from 2 species
GCGGAUGUGGCGUAAUUGGUAGCCGCGCUGGUCUCAGGUACCAGUGAUCGGAAGAUCGUGGAGGUUCGAGUCCUCUCAUCCGUACCA